rnacentral:rRNA from 1 species
GACGAACGCUGGCGGCGUGCCUAAUACAUGCAAGUCGAACGCAGUGGGGACGGGUGAGUAACACGUGGGUAACCUCCCAUCAGAGGGGAUAACACUUGGAAACAGGUGCUAAACCGAUACUGAUGGAUGGACCCGCGGUGCAUGAGCAAGUUGGUGAGGUAACGGAUCACCAAGGCCACGAUGAAUAGCCGCCCCGAGAGGGUGAUCAGCCACACUGUGACGGAGACACGGCCCAGACUCCUACGGGAGGCAUCAGUGUGGAAUCGGCGGCAAUGGACGAAAGUCUGACCGAGCAACGCCGCGUGAGUGAAGAAAGUUUUCGGAUCGUAAAACACUGUUGUUAGAGAAGCGGUAUCUAACCAGAAAGCCACGGCUAACUACGUGCCAGCAGCCGCGGUAAUUC